rnacentral:lncRNA from 1 species
AAUUAUGGUAAAUUUAGAUAACUCUUCUUGAUUUCAUUUAAUAAGUAGGAAAUAUCUCUUUUUACUUGUUCUAUUCAUGGAAAUUUCAAAUGUUAUAAUUUGACAUACCCUUGUUUAUUUAUUUAUGGCAACUAUAGUAUGAUUGGUGGAAUGGAUUGAUUUAUCCCCAUCCAUUUAAGGGAACAAUCUCCUUAAUUGAUUCAUUAUAUGUUAUUCUUCCUUCAUUAAAUAUUAUUCUUCCUUCAUUAUUUGGGAUUGUGGACGGCCCUCCUCACUAUAUAAACUCACCAUUCUCUUUCUCUAAGAGGACAGACUUCUCCUCCGCUAUUACUCUCUCUAUUUUCUCUUAAAAGUACUUUGAAGUUCUUUGGCACUUUGGAUUUUGAAAAACCUUCGGUCUUGUCCUUGCUGCAAUUGCUUUGGGUUCUAUUAUUAUUAUUAGGUGCCUAUUUGUGAUAGCAAAGCAUAGAAAGCAUGUCUAUAAGAACUAAUUUAAAAUAAUUAUGUUGUGCUUGCUUGCUAUGCCUGUGUUUCUUUGUUCCUCUAUAUAAGACAAUGUGUUGGUAUAGUCAAGUAUUCCUUCUGUGCUUGUAGCACUCUUUUGCUCGUAUGUGACAGGUAUUAAGUGGUAUUGGAAGAGUCGUCGGGUGGUUGCUUCUUUCUUUCUUUGUUUAGUCUCAUAGCUUCAUUUUAUUUAUUCAUUGGUCUGUACUGUAUAAACCUCACUGAUGUAAUGGUAAUUAUUGGGACUGCUUGGGGGCGGGGAUUUAUG